rfam:Necator americanus N_americanus-1.0_Cont14.59, whole genome shotgun sequence.
GGUCCUGUGGUGUAGUGGUUAUCACGUCUGCUUUACACGCAGAAGGUCGUCGGUUCGAUCCCGGCCAGGACCU